CCACUACACAUGCAAAUUUUUCCAGCUUUUACCAAUACAUACACAUUGCUAACAUUUUGUAGUUAAGUGGCAAUCUCGGUAGUUAGAGUAGCAAAAUUCAUUAACCCUAAUUUUUGUAUGUGUAAGAGAGAGAUACAAUGAACCGUUCAAAAAUCGCCACCAUGGCCGCUGUUCAUUUCAAAAUAAAAUUUAAAGUGAAUGGAUUUAUACGUGUGUGCGCAGGAAAUGAAGAGCAAGGAGGUUACGUCGGAAUUGGUGGAGGUUUUUGGAUUUAGCACUGGUGCAAUAUAGUGCAACAACAACGCAGAAACCGUGGAUAAUAAUAUGAUAUUGAAAACACAAAGGCGUUAGGCGUCAAUUGGUCCUUCCAUCGGAGUGGAGGUCUCCCUCUUCCUCGGCUUCCACCGAGUCCAUUCGAACAACAUGACCAAGCCCGCGUAGCCGCUGUCUUUUUUCGCUGGACUAUGUCUAUGUCGUCUAACAACACAUACAGCUCAUCAUUUCAUCUUCUGCGGUAUUAGCCGUUGCCAAUGUUUAAGGGACCAUAAAUCCCCAAAACCUUUCUUUCGAAAACUCAUAGUGCCGUCCAUCUGAUGUUGACAUCGUCCACGCUUCUGCACCAUAAUGUAGGACGGGAAUGAUGAGGGACUUGUAGAGUUUAGUUUUUGCUCAUCUAGAGAGGACUUUACUUUUCAAUUGCCUACCCAGACCAUAAAUACAAAUACUGGAGGAUUACAAUAGCUACUACUUUUCUUAGGCAUGAUAAACAAGACAACAACAAAUUCCAUCGGACAUUUAGAUUAGCAGUUGCACAACUUUUUUCCUUUUUAUGAUGUACAUAUGGGAUAGGAUUGUUUGGAAUUGACAUUCAUUAGUUUCUUUGGAUCCUUACAGGAUAGUUAUAAGGAAAUCGUUCGCGUUUAGUAUUAAUUUAUUCAUUUGCUAAUUCAUAAUCUAGAUGUAAAAUAUUAUUAAAUUAUACAAAUGAAUGUUCGAAUACUAAUAACAUUCGUAAUAGUAAUAGAAUUUUUUUUGAAUUGUAUAACAACAACUACAAAAAAAUAAAAAUGUAAUACUUAAUACUAAAUUUAUAUAUGAAAUAUGUAAAAAUUAAAAAUUUAAUAAUUAAUACUAACUUUAUUUUUAAAAUAUGUAAAUUUUGUCAAUGUAUAAAUAUAAAUGUAUAAAAAUUCAAUGCAAAAACGUUUGUAAAAAAUCAAUGUAUAAAUAGCUGCAAAAACGUAUGUAAAAAGUUCACUUUGUAAAAAAUUUAAAAUAUUAUACAAUACUAAUUUAUAAAUGUAAAUAUAUCAUACAAUUAUAAUAAAUAAAUAAAAAUAAAAAAAUUUCAAUUUUUAAUUUUUAAACGGAAAAGUAGGUGACCUAUAGAAUGGAGACCAAUGAACCAAAUUUAAGUAACGAAACGGUGACCCAACAAAUGACCAAACUGCAAGACGAGUGGAGUUACUUAUCUUAUGAAAUAUUGGUUACCAGUAAAGAAAGCUUGUAUUAUUUUUUGGUCUCUUUUGUUCUAGCAGCAGGAAAAAAGUUACCAUUUCUUCUCUUUUACGGCAUGUCGGUGUGAUUAUCUUACUUGCUCUCUCUCAUUGAUUUUGGUGCCAAUGCUGCAUAUAUCUUUCUACUCUAAUUUUUCAUUGUUUUAUAAAGGCAUAUGUCACUCUGUGGUUAGCAUAGCCCCCUGUAGUAGUUUUUUUUUUUAAUCAGCCAUCUAUCAGUGGAGACUGGUCGAUUUAUCAUUUUCAGGGUAACACUUUAAUCACAGGUAUUGGUCAUUUGUUGGGUCACCGUUUCGUUACUUAAAUUUGGUUCACUGGUCUCUAUUGGUCUUCAUUCUAUAGGUCACCUACUUUUCCGUUUAAAAAUGAAUGAUUUAUUUAAUUGUAUGAGGUAUUUACAUAUAUAAAUUAGUAUGGUAUUUUACAUUUUUAAUAAUUAUUAUAGAUUAAUUUUUAUAUAUUAACAUUUCAGUAGAAAG